GACGAACGCUGGCGGCGUGGAUUAGGCAUGCAAGUCGAACGGUAUCAUCCUUUCGGGGGUGAGAGAGUGGCGAACUGGUGAGUAACACGUAGGUUAUCUACCCUCAAGACGGGGACAACCCAGGGAAACUUGGGCUAAUACCGGAUGUGAGCAACUUUUAGUUGUUUGAAAGGUGGCGUAAGCUGUCGCUUGGGGAUGAGCCUGCGUCCUAUUAGUUAGUUGGUGAGGUAACGGCUCACCUAGGCAAUGAUAGGUAGGCGGCCUUAACGGGUGGUCGCCCACACUGGGAUUGAGAUACGGCCCAGACUCCUACGGGAGGCAGCAGUCGAGAAUAGUCUACAAUGGUCGGAAGACUGAUAGUGCGACGCCGCGUGAACGAUGAAUCCCUUCGGGGUGUAAAGUUCUUUUAUAUGUGAGCAGUGCUUCUUAUAUUAACAGUAUGGGGAGAGAGAUAUUAGCAUAUAGAAUAAGCAACGGACUAACUCCGUGCCAGCAGCCGACGGU
rnacentral:rRNA from 1 species